GAAAUCAAAGGAUUAAUGGGGAAUUUGACGAAAAUAUUAGCUUUAAGUUGGUAAGAAAUAACAAUAAGUAUCAGCUAGUGUGUGUAGAGGUGAAUUUGAAAAAUGUUUAACAAAGUCCCACAUUGGAGGGAUACCACACUUUAGUAGUACUUAUGUAUGAUAGGUUGGCCACUUAGGGUGUGCUCUAAGGGGUACACAAUUUUGUGAAAAGAUGAGGAUGCACC
rnacentral:lncRNA from 1 species